CGUUAGUCUCAGCUUAGUCUCAGAGAACGAGACGUCAUGAUCGACAAGACCCAAUCAGGAGGAGAAACGAUGGCACUGCAAGAUAACCCCGCAGAUUCCAAACCAAAACGGGUCAGAAGUGUUUCCAAAUUUCUCCGGUUUAGGAGCUCGGAAACGCCAGGGCAGGGGGAAUGAGAGGGG